AUCAAAUCAAUCGAUCCGUCUAAUUCAUCAUUUCACAUUAAAUUGCUCAUAUUGAUCACAUCGAUUACAAUUAUCAAUUAAUCUUCGUAAAAGUCUCGUUUCAUUUAAAAUAAAAUAAGAGAUAAAAUCAGCAUAAAGAACGGUUAAUGUGUGCAGCUACUUGGACACAUUAAUUUCAUAUUAUCGCUCGCUGGAAUAUUUGUCUCACCUCGACACGCCUUAUAUUUUCCGCCAUUCGAACAGUGAAAAUCGUGCAUGAAAUGAAAGGAACAAGAUCGACUGGUAACAUCCAAACCCAAAUGGCGACAGACGUCAAAUGCAUGCAGCUAUAGAAAUGAGAGUGCCGCGUUCAAAUCGAGGUUUAUUGAUGAUCCACGUAAUGUGGAAACGAGGAGGCACAUACCAAUCCUGGCCAAUUAAAAACGACACGUUGAUCGAUUUGCGCGAAUAUUUGCGCAUCGUUUUCCAUCGAGCUUAGUUGUGCAACCACCGCUUUCAUCGCUAGCUCGAAUUCCACGAUUUUACGCUGUUUUUCGUGCCGAGUGAUUUUCCAAUCGAUGGACCAGCAUAUUUAAAAUU